rnacentral:rRNA from 1 species
UACGUAGGGUGCAAGCGUUAAUCGGAAUUACUGGGCGUAAAGCGUGCGCAGGCGGUUGUGCAAGACCGAUGUGAAAUCCCCGGGCUCAACCUGGGAAUGGCAUUGGUGACUGUACGGCUAGAGUGUGUCAGAGGGGGGUAGAAUUCCACGUGGUAGCAGUGAAAUGCGUAGAGAUGUGGAGGAAUACCGAUGGCGAAGGCAGCCCCCUGGGAUAACACGU